GAUGAAGAACAUAGCGAAAUGCGAUAAGUAAUGUGAAUUGCAGAAUUCAGUGAACCAUCGAAUCUUUGAACGCACAUUGCGCCCGCCAGUAUUCUGGCGGGCAUGCCUGUCCGAGCGUCAUCUCAACCCUCGAGCCCCCCCGGGGGCUCGGCGUUGGGGACCGGCCCCGCCCCAGGGCGCGCCGCCCCCCAAAUCCAGUGGCGGUCCCGCCGCAGCCUCCCCUGCGCAGUAGCUUGCACACUCUCACCGGAGAGCGGCGCGGCCACGCCGUAAAACCCCCCGACCACGGAGCCCCGGCUCCUGAACGUUGACCUCGGAUCAGGUAGGAAUACCCGCUGAACUUAAGCAUAUCAAUAAGCGGAGGA
rnacentral:misc_RNA from 1 species